rnacentral:rRNA from 1 species
ACGAUGUGUGGAGGAUGCUUGGAGGCACGUGAAGAGCAGUGUUGGCGCCAGCCCGGCGCAAUACGUGCUCGGCACAUUCGUGGACUUCAAAGGAGCAUUCGACAACGUCGAAUGGAGUGCUGCACUCAGCCGACUAGCCGACUUGGGAUGCCGGGAAAUGGGCUUGUGGCAGAGCUUUUUCUCCGGCCGAAGAGCAGUGAUCCGAAGCAGUUCCGGUACUGUGGAGGUACCGGUAACUAGAGGCUGCCCGCAGGGAUCAAUCAGCGGCCCAUUUAUCUGGGACAUACUGAUGGAUGUACUGCUUCAGCGUCUCCAGCCGUAUUGCCAGCUGAGUGCAUACGCGGAUGACUUGCUGCUUCUCGUCGAGGGAAAUUCCCGAGCUGUGCUAGAGGAAAAAGGAGCGCAACUAAUGUCCAUCGUAGAAACGUGGGGAGCGGAAGUUGGCGUUGCCGUCUCGACCAGCAAGACGGUAAUCAUGCUGCUGAAAGGUGCCUUGAGACGUGCGCCUACGGUGAGGUUUGCUGGAGCGAACCUUCCGUAUGUGCGUAGCUGUCGGUACCUUGGCAUCACGGUCAGUGAAGGAAUGAAAUUCCUCACGCACAUAGCUUCGCUUCGCCAGCGGAUGACAGGAGUCGUUGGAGCAUUGGCGCGUGUGCUUCGAGCCGACUGGGGCUUCAGUCCUCGAGCCAGGCGGACCAUAUAUGACGGACUCAUGGCACCUUGUGUGCUGUUUGGUGCCCCGGUAUGGUAUGACACCGCGGAACAAGUAGCUGCCCAGAGGCGACUAGCCUCCUGCCAGAGGCUAAUCCUGCUUGGAUGCCUUUCGGUAUGCCGAACAGUGUCCACAGUGGCACUGCAGGUACUUGGUGGAGCUCCCCCGCUUGAUCUGGCUGCUAAGUUAUUAGCGAUUAAAUACAAGCUAAAACGUGGAUUCCCGCUGGAGGAGAACGACUGGCUUUACGGCGAGGACAUUGCGUGUCUUAGCUGGGAGCAGAGGAAGACUCGCCUAGAGGAGUGUUUAAUCCAGAGUUGGCAGAACAGAUGGGACGACGACAGCGAACCAGGACGGGUGACGCAUAGGUUUAUCCCAUACGUCACUCUUGCCUAUCGGGAUCCAAGUUUUGGAUUCUCGAUGAGGACGUCUUUCCUGCUUACAGGGCACGGGUCGUUCAAUGCAUUUUUGCACGGGAGAGCCCUCAGCGAUACCACUGCUUGCGCAUGUGGAGAUCCAUAUGAGGACUGGAUGCAUAUCUUGUGCGCUUGCCCCCUAUAUGCAGAUCUGCGGGACCUAGAUGGACUUGGAGUGCAGCGCCUUGGCGAAAACUGGAUCUUCGAGGGAAUCCUGGAUGAUCAAGAGAAGACUCAACGGCUGGCAAUGUUUGCGGAAGAAGUGUUCCUGAGGAGGAGGGGCGUUUAGCUCAACAUCUCUGCCGUGUGGUUAGCGGGCGAGAAUACUACCACAGUCCGCUGUUGCUUGUCGUAAGAGACGACUAAUACAGCGAUAGGAUUCCUCUAACCCUGCUUGUCGGAGCAAAAGGGGGAGGCCCACCGAGCCUCUUUUCGGUACCACGGGUUGAGCAGCUAUCCAAGACUGCUCAUUGAGGUAGGCCCCCUGGUGGGAGUAUCGUGGUGGCUGUGGUUGGUACCCAUAUCGCGGGUAGAGCCUUCAUGCUCGACGUUUGAGUUACGGUGCUAGUUGCGCAAAACUCGGGUGCUGUGACCCAGAGAUCAGUAGAGAUUUUAGGUAGAUCUCGCUCCUCAGCAAGGGGGAGUGCUUGCCCGGCAAGCAAGUACUCGAAUUGCUACCGGGGUGGUCGCUAUGUACAUAGCUAUAGCUUCUAGUCCGGGACGCUUGUCUGGCGUAUCCAGACACAUGCACCAUAUGCUCACUUGUGGGCGUAUAGGGUGCCGUGGUUGUAAUCCCUUCAGUGUGGAACACGCCACGUAAAAUAAGUUCGGAGGGAUCCGAAAAGCAUACAUUGUCCCUAUCUACUAUCUAGCGAAACCACAGCCAAGGGAACGGGCUUGGAAUAAUUAGCGGGGAAAGAAGACCCUUUUGAGCUUGACUCUAAUCUGGCAGUGUAAGGAGACAUAAGAGGUGUAGAAUAAGUGGGAGAUAUUAGACCUCGGUUUGGUAUCGUCAAUGAAAUACCACUACUCUUAUUGUUUCCUUACUUACUUGAUUAAAUGGAACGUGUAUCAUUUCCUAGCCAUUAUACGGAUAUAUUUAUUAUAUCUUAUGGUAUUGGGUUUUGAUGCAAGCUUCUUGAUCAAAGUAUCACGAGUUUGUUAUAUAAUCGCAAACAAAUUCUUUAAUAAAACGAUGCAUUUAUGUAUUUUUGAUUUGAAAAUUUGGUAUAACUCCAAUUACUCAGGUAUGAUCCAAUUCAAGGACAUUGCCAGGUAGGGAGUUUGACUGGGGCGGUACAUCUCUCAAAUAAUAACGGAGGUGUCCCAAGGCCAGCUCAGUGCGGACAGAAACCACACAUAGAGCAAAAGGGCAAAUGCUGACUUGAUCUCGGUGUUCAGUACACACAGGGACAGCAAAAGCUCGGCCUAUCGAUCCUUUUGGUUUAAAGAGUUUUUAACAAGAGGUGUCAGAAAAGUUACCAUAGGGAUAACUGGCUUGUGGCGGCCAAGCGUUCAUAGCGACGUCGCUUUUUGAUCCUUCGAUGUCGGCUCUUCCUAUCAUUGUGAAGCAAAAUUCACCAAGCGUUGGAUUGUUCACCCAUGCAAGGGAACGUGAGCUGGGUUUAGACCGUCGUGAGACAGGUUAGUUUUACCCUACUAAUGACAAAACGUUGUUGCGACAGCAUUCCUGCGUAGUACGAGAGGAACCGCAGGUACGGACCAAUGGCACAAUACUUGUUCGAGCGAACAGUGGUAUGACGCUACGUCCGUUGGAUUAUGCCUGAACGCCUCUAAGGUCGUAUCCGUGCUGGACUGCAAUGAUAAAUAAGGGGCAAUUUGCAUUGU